AAGAGUGCGGUGAUGAUACAAUUUUCGUGGACUAGAGUUUCUGAUCUGGGUCUCAAAAUCCAGAAGCUGAUUAACAACCCUUGGCUGUCUGAGCAUUCUU